AGCUUGAGCUUCGGACGAG
rnacentral:snRNA from 1 species